UGCUCCUUCGACAGUCCCGGAUGCCGCAGCUGCUCGAAUUCAUAGCGCGAGAGUUUCGUCACCACCAAAGCCCGCUUAAGCUUGAAGUUCGCAGGCGUAAACUUGGCAUAUUCUGGAACCAAUUGAGCGCAAUUGAAACUUGGAUCAUUUUAGGUACAGACAGUCCUUGGAGGAGACUGUGUGUCCACGACUAUAUAGUCGGCAGAGUACAACAAUUUGGAUUUCUAGCAAUGCCAAAACACAUGCCCGAGCUGAUAAUCAUAAUGGAGUAACAAGUGCCUACUCAUCAGCGAGAAGCGAGUGUGUGUGUACGAGUAUAACCGAAUGAUUGAGGGGCGAUUGCCAACCAAAAAAAAAAAAUGUGAAUUGCGACCCAGGAACUACAAUCACCUCUGUCGAACAGUUUGAUUCUGUUAGUUCUAAAAGUCCUUCUUACCUUUGGAAAAUCGCUGCAGGAAUUGCUUCGAUUUCAACAUGGUGGGCACAGGCGAACAGCAAACAUUUAUUUGAAUGUUUAACGUUUAUUUUUCGUUUUCUUUUUGCUUUUACAAAACUAAAAAUAAUGGGUUCAGAUUUUCUUUGUUCUUCUAAUUGUCGUAUGCCGGCAUUCGAUCUGAAAACAAAAUAAUUAUUCACUUCGCGGCGUUGCGUUCAAUAAAUGGUCUUGAGCUCCCUAUCCACUUCCAUUCAGCUAUGUCACUUCCACGUUCUAACUAUGUAGCAGAUUAACUGAUUGAUUAUUAUUUUAUUCUGUUCUGCUUUGCUGUUCCUCCAUCGGCGAAUCGCUUCUGUAUGAACAUUCGCCUUUUGCUGUAAAUUUAUCGCCGUUUGUUUCUAUUUUCGUCCGCUUUCGUUUCGCUUCU